rnacentral:rRNA from 1 species
AUAUCAAUAAGCGGAGGAAAAGAAACCAACCGGGAUUGCCUUAGUAACGGCGAGUGAAGCGGCAAAAGCUCAAAUUUGAAAUCUGGUACCUUCGGUGCCCGAGUUGUAAUUUGGAGAGGGCAACUUUGGGGCCGUUCCUUGUCUAUGUUCCUUGGAACAGGACGUCAUAGAGGGUGAGAAUCCCGUGUGGCGAGGAGUGCGGUUCUUUGUAAAGUGCCCUCGAAGAGUCGAGUUGUUUGGGAAUGCAGCUCUAAGUGGGUGGUAAAUUCCAUCUAAAGCUAAAUAUUGGCGAGAGACCGAUAGCGAACAAGUACAGUGAUGGAAAGAUGAAAAGAACUUUGAAAAGAGAGUGAAAAAGUACGUGAAAUUGUUGAAAGGGAAGGGCAUUUGAUCAGACAUGGUGUUUUGUGCCCUCUGCUCCUUGUGGGUAGGGGAAUCUCGCAUUUCACUGGGCCAGCAUCAGUUUUGGUGGCAGGAUAAAUCCAUAGGAAUGUAGCUUGCCUCGGUAAGUAUUAUAGCCUGUUGGGAAUACUGCCAGCUGGGACUGAGGACUGCGACGUAAGUCAAGGAUGCUGGCAUAAUGGUUAUAUGCCGC